rnacentral:rRNA from 1 species
UACGAAGGGGGCUAGCGUUGUUCGGAAUUAUUGGGCGUAAAGAGCUCGUAGGCGGUUUGUCGCGUCUGCUGUGAAAACUGGAGGCUCAACCUCCAGCCUGCAGUGGGUACGGGCAGACUAGAGUGCGGUAGGGGAGAUUGGAAUUCCUGGUGUAGCGGUGAAAUGCGUAGAGAUCCGGAGGAACACCAAAGGCGAAGGCAGUGUCCUGGGGAGUACCUGACGCUCAGGUGCGAAAGCCAGGGGAGCGAACGGG